rnacentral:rRNA from 1 species
UGGGGAAUUGUUCACAAUGGGCGCAAGCCUGAUGACGCAACGCCGCGUGGGGGAUGAAGGUCUUCGGAUCGUAAACCCCUGUCGAAUGGGACGAAAGACUCGCGAGUGAAUACUUCGCGAGAGUGACGGUACCGUUAAAGGAAGCCACGGCUAACUCUGUGCCAGCAGCCGCGGUAAUACGUAGGGACCAAGCGUUGUUCGGAUUUACUGGGCGUAAAGGGCGCGUAGGCGGCAAUUCAAGUCAUCUGUGAAAUCUCCGGGCUUAACUCGGAACGGUCAGAUGAUACUGCUUUGCUAGAGUGCAGAAGGGGCAAUCGGAAUUCUUGGUGUAGCGGUGAAAUGCGUAGAUAUCAAGAGGAACACCUGAGGUGAAGACGGGUUGCUGGGCUGACACUGACGCUGAGGCGCGAAAGCCAGGGGAGCAAACGGGAUUAGAUACCCUUGUAGUCCCUGAGCGGGCUGGCAAGGCGCAU